UUGUAGUUUCUUUAAGGAGGCCUCGAGAAGGGGUGAAUCCCCACACUGUAACCUGAGAAACAGCCAAACUCCUACCGGGAGGCAGCAAUGAGAUAUUGACAAUGGGUGAAGAGCUGAUCCAGCAUCCGCGUGAAGGACGACGCCCUAUGGUGUAAACUUCUUUUGUACAGGGAUUAACCUUCACGUGUGGAAAGCUGAAAGGUACUGUACGAAUAAGCACCGGGCUAACUCCGUGCCAGCAGCCGCGGUAAUACGAGGGUGCAAGCGUUAUCCGGAUUUAUUGGGUUAAAGGGUCCGUAGGCGGAUCUGUAAGUCAGUGGUGAAAUCUCAUAGCUUAACUAUGAAACUGCCAUUGAUACCGCAGGUCUUGAGUAAGGUAGAAGUAGCUGGAAUAAGUAGUGUAGCGGUGAAAUGCAUAGAUAUUACUUAGAACACCAAUUGCGAAGGCAGGUUACUAUGUCUUAACUGACGCUGAUGGACGAAAGCGUGGGGAGCGAACAGGAUUAGAUACCCUGGUAGUCCACGCUGUAAACGAUGCUAACUCGUUUUUGGGUUUUCGGAUUCAGAGACUAAGCGAAAGUGAUUAGUUAGCCACCUGGGGAGUACGAACGCAAGUUUGAAACUCAAAGGAAUUGACGGGGGCCCGCACAAGCGGUGGAUUAUGUGGUUUAAUUCGAUGGUACGCGAGGAACCUUACCAAGACUUAAAUGGGAAUUGACAGAUUUAGAAAUAGAUCCUCCUUCGGGCAAUUUUCAAGGUGCUGCAUGGUUGUCGUCAGCUCGUGCCGUGAGGUGUUAGGUUAAGUCCUGCAACGAGCGCAACCCCUGUCACUAGUUGCCAUCAUUCAGUUGGGGACUCUAGUGAGACUGCCUACGCAAGUGGAGAGGAAGGUGGGGAUGACGUCAAAUCAUCACGGCCCUUACGUCUUGGGCCACACACGUAAUACAAUGGCCGGUACAGAGGGCAGCUACACAGCGAUGUGAUGCAAAUCUCGAAAGCCGGUCUCAGUUCGGAUUGGAGUCUGCAACUCGACUCUAUGAAGCUGGAAUCGCUAGUAAUCGCGCAUCAGCCAUGGCGCGGUGAAUACGUUCCCGGGCCUUGUACACACCGCCCGUCAAGCCAUGGAAGUCUGGGGUACCUGAAGUCGGUGACCGCAACAGGAGCUGCCUAGGGUAAAACAGGUAACUAGGGCUAAGUCGUAACAAGGUAACCA
rnacentral:rRNA from 1 species